UUCCUGGUGGUCCAGUGAUUAAGACUCUACACUGACAAUGCAGAGGGCGUGGGUUCAAUCCCUUGUUGGGGAA
rnacentral:tRNA from 1 species